CACAUGGUAAUUUUCGUCUAUAAAAUUAAUCUCAACGUUAAAAAAAAAUUUCUUUAGAUAGGUGGCGAUCGAAGGUGGACAGCAAGAUCGAAGCUCAGCAAGAUUGAAGAUUGUUCGAGGAAGAAGGAGUUCGCCGUUGACUAAAAGGUUUAUCUGAACAGCUAGUUGUCAAGAUGAAGGUGAAGACUCGCCCGGCCAAAUUCAAAAUGGCGAUGCCAAAGAAAACCAUCCACGUGGACUGUCGCUGACCUUUCUGAGCAAGAUUUAUUGUGCUGUCUGGUCAAACCAGUUAUCAAGACGAACGUCAAGAGAACAGUUGAAAUAGAAAAUAGAAAUCAGUUCAAGGCUCGCCUGGCCGCCGAAUUCAAAAUGCGAUCCCAUCCACGUGGACCGUUCGCGGAUCUUUCUGAGCAAGAUUGUUGUGCUGUCUAGUCAAAGUUAAGUAUUUUACUUUACUGUUU